rnacentral:rRNA from 1 species
GCCCUACGGGAGGCAGCAGUGGGGAAUCUUGCGCAAUGGGCGAAAGCCUGACGCAGCCAUGCCGCGUGGAUGAUGAAGGUCUUAGGAUUGUAAAAUCCUUUCAGCGGGGACGAUAAUGACGGUACCCGCAGAAGAAGCCCCGGCUAACUUCGUGCCAGCAGCCGCGGUAAUACGAAGGGGGCUAGCGUUGCUCGGAUUUACUGGGCGUAAAGGGCGCGUAGGCGGACAGUUAAGUCGGGGGUGAAAGCCCGGGGCUCAACCUCGGGAUUGCCUUCGAUACUGGUUGUCUUGAGUACGGGGGAGGUGUGUGGAACUCCGGGUGUAGAGGUGAAAUUCGUAGAUAUUCGGAAGAACACCAGUGGCGAAGGCGACACACUGGCCCGUUACUGACGCUGAGGCGCGAAAGCGUGGGGAGCAAACAGGAUUAGAUACCCCGGUAGUCAC